UGCAUCUGAAGCCUGACGAGGAUGAGAACCUCCGGGGCAAGAGGUUCGACCCGAGCGAAGCGCGAGAGAACGUUGCGUCAGCAACGCACCCGCAGGGCGAGCCACGUAGUAGCGAGUCAUCCUUCAUCACCGGCGC
rnacentral:sRNA from 1 species